rnacentral:lncRNA from 1 species
CUCUAUUCUUCUCUUUCUCUGCAUACUUGUUUGUUCAGCAGUGCGCAGACUAAGUGAUUAACAGUUCUUUUAAGAGCUAAUAGAGCGAAAUAUAAUCUUACAGAGCCGUCAGAGCGCAAGAUAAUUUACAGCUGCUCAGUUUUGAUAAUUUUGGACACCUGUACCUAAGCCAGAUCACUAGAGUUCAGUGUAUUUCAUUAUACUUCUGAUAUUGGAUAUAUUGAGAUAAGUCUAUACAGUUAUUUUUAAAAUGAUAAGCAGUAGUUUACUUGUACCUCCUGCAUAUAUGUACUUGGUAUUAUGGUAUUUAUUUGUUGUGUUAAUGUUAAGUGUAGUUGUGGUGCUGUUAGUUGUAAAAAAAGGAAGUAGGAAAAGGAAAAGUGACUUAACUGGGGCUAAAUCCAAAAAAA